rnacentral:rRNA from 1 species
UGCGGGUACUAUACAUGCAGUCGAGCGAAUGGAUUAAGAGCUUGCUCUUAUGAAGUUAGCGGCGGACGGGUGAGUAACACGUGGGUAACCUGCCCAUAAGACUGGGAUAACUCCGGGAAACCGGGGCUAAUACCGGAUAACAUUUUGAACCGCAUGGUUCGAAAUUGAAAGGCGGCUUCGGCUGUCACUUAUGGAUGGACCCGCGUCGCAUUAGCUAGUUGGUGAGGUAACGGCUCACCAAGGCAACGAUGCGUAGCCGACCUGAGAGGGUGAUCGGCCACACUGGGACUGAGACACGGCCCAGACUCCUACGGGAGGCAGCAGUAGGGAAUCUUCCGCAAUGGACGAAAGUCUGACGGAGCAACGCCGCGUGAGUGAUGAAGGCUUUCGGGUCGUAAAACUCUGUUGUUAGGGAAGAACAAGUGCUAGUUGAAUAAGCUGGCACCUUGACGGUACCUAACCAGAAAGCCACGGCUAACUACGUGCCAGCAGCCGCGGUAAUACGUAGGUGGCAAGCGUUAUCCGGAAUUAUUGGGCGUAAAGCGCGCGCAGGUGGUUUCUUAAGUCUGAUGUGAAAGCCCACGGCUCAACCGUGGAGGGUCAUUGGAAACUGGGAGACUUGAGUGCAGAAGAGGAAAGUGGAAUUCCAUGUGUAGCGGUGAAAUGCGUAGAGAUAUGGAGGAACACCAGUGGCGAAGGCGACUUUCUGGUCUGUAACUGACACUGAGGCGCGAAAGCGUGGGGAGCAAACAGGAUUAGAUA